GCAAGUGUGGUGAAAUAGGCAGACACACAGGACUUAAAAUCCUGCGGGCGUUAAAACCCAUGCCGGUUCGAGUCCGUCCACUUGCA
rnacentral:tRNA from 1 species